rnacentral:rRNA from 1 species
UAAGCAUAUCAAUAAGCGGAGGAAAAGAAACCAACCGGGAUUGCCUCAGUAACGGCGAGUGAAGCGGCAAGAGCUCAAAUUUGAAAGCUGGCCCCUUCGGGGUCCGCGUUGUAAUUUGCAGAGGAUGCUUCGGGUGCGGCCCCUGUCUAAGUGCCCUGGAACGGGCCGUCAGAGAGGGUGAGAAUCCCGUCUUGGGCAGGGUGCCCGUGCCCGUGUGAAGCUCCUUCGACGAGUCGAGUUGUUUGGGAAUGCAGCUCUAAAUGGGUGGUAAAUUUCAUCUAAAGCUAAAUACCGGCCGGAGACCGAUAGCGCACAAGUAGAGUGAUCGAAAGAUGAAAAGCACUUUGAAAAGAGAGUUAAACAGCACGUGAAAUUGUUGAAAGGGAAGCGCUUGCGACCAGACUCGGUCCCGGGGUUCAGCCAGCACUCGUGCUGGUGUGCUUCCCCGGGGGCGGGCCAGCGUCGGUUUGGGCGGCCGGUCAAAGGCCCCAGGAAUGUAUCGCCCUCCGGGGUUGUCUUAUAGCCUGGGGUGCAAUGCGGCCAGCCCGGACCGAGGAACGCGCUUCGGCACGGACGCUGGCGUAAUGGUCGCAAACGACCCGUCUUGAAACACGGACCAAGGAGUCUAACAUCUACGCGAGUGUUCGGGUGUCAAACCCGUACGCGCAGUGAAAGCGAACGGAGGUGGGAGCCCCCCCGGGGCGCACCAUCGACCGAUCCUGAUGUCUUCGGAUGGAUUUGAGUAAGAGCGUAGCUGUGGGGACCCGAAAGAUGGUGAACUAUGCCUGAAUAGGGCGAAGCCAGAGGAAACUCUGGUGGAGGCUCGCAGCGGUUCUGACGUGCAAAUCGAUCGUCAAAUUUGGGUAUAGGGGCGAAAGACUAAUCGAACCAUCUGGUAGCUGGUUCCUGCCGAAGUU